GACGAACGCUGGCGGCGUGCUUAACACAUGCAAGUCGAACGAAGUGGCGAACGGGUGAGUAAUACGUGGUUACCCUGCCCUCCUUUUUGGGAUAAGCCUUGGAAACGGUGUCUAAUACCGAAUACAGGGGGAUGGGCUCGCGGCCUAUCAGCUUGUUGUGGGGUGGAUGGCCUACAAAGGCGGUGACGGGUAGCCGACCUGAGAGGGUGACCGGUCUGAUGGGGACUGAGAAACGGCCCAGACUCCUACGGGAGGCAGCAGUGGGGGAUAUUGCACAAUGGGCGAAAGCUUGAUGCAGCCAUGCCGCGUGUAUGAAGAAGGCCCUCGGGUUGUAAAGUACUUUUAUUCGGGAGGCGUUAUCGAAAGAAGAAGCACCGGCUAACUCCGUGCCAGCCGCCGCGGUAAUUC
rnacentral:rRNA from 1 species